CCCAGGCUAGCUCAGUUGGUAGAGCAUGAGACUCUUAAUCUCAGGGUUGUGGGCUCAAGCCCUACAUUGGGU
rnacentral:tRNA from 1 species